CGGAGUGUAGCGCAGCCUGGUAGCGCACCUGCUUCGGGAGCAGGGGGUCGGAGGUUCGAAUCCUCUCACUCCGA
rfam:Rhodobacteraceae bacterium PD-2 genomic scaffold scaffold1, whole genome shotgun sequence.